rnacentral:rRNA from 1 species
GACGAACGCUGGCGGCGUGCCUAAUACAUGCAAGUUGAGCGAUGAAGAUUGGUGCUUGCACCAAUUUGAAGAGCAGCGAACGGGUGAGUAACGCGUGGGGAAUCUGCCUUUGAGCGGGGGACAACAUUUGGAAACGAAUGCUAAUACCGCAUAAUAACUUUAAACAUAAGUUUUAAGUUUGAAAGAUGCAAUUGCAUCACUCAAAGAUGAUCCCGCGUUGUAUUAGCUAGUUGGUGAGGUAAAGGCUCACCAAGGCGAUGAUACAUAGCCGACCUGAGAGGGUGAUCGGCCACAUUGGGACUGAGACACGGCCCAAACUCCUACGGGAGGCAGCAGUAGGGAAUCUUCGGCAAUGGACGAAAGUCUGACCGAGCAACGCCGCGGGAGUGAAGAAGGUUGUCGGAUCGUAAAACUCUGUUGGUAGAGAAGAACGUUGGUGAGAGUGGAAAGCUCAUCAAGUGACGGUAACUACCCAGAAAGGGACGGCUAACUACGUG